UCCUAGCCCCGAUAGAAGCGGCAUCCUUUUUCUGGCUUCUUUAGCAAGGAAAAGAUGCAAGCGGAUAGCGGGACAAGUC
rnacentral:sRNA from 1 species